UCCUCGUUAGUAUAGUGGUUAGUAUCCCCACCUGUCAUGUGGGAGACUGGGGUUCUAUUCCCCAAUGGGGGG
rfam:Mesitornis unicolor contig69588, whole genome shotgun sequence.